rnacentral:lncRNA from 10 species
GCCAUUUAAGACAUCUACCUGCUUCUCCUUUGCCUUCCAUCAUGACUGAAAGUUGUCUGAGGUCUCCCAGCCACGUGUCCUGUACAGCCUGUGGAACUACUUUAAAGAAGAAUCAGAAAAUGGAGACUGGGAUUGGAAGCAGAGAUCCGAUGGCCAAAUUACAGUCUGCCACUGAAGCUAACACACCUAUGGAUAACCCAACCUGUAAACUCAAUGUGGAACACAGUUUGAGAAAAGAAGUGAGAAGAUUCAAUUUUGAAGUUGGAUCACUCUCCUACAGGCAAUGAAGACCACAUCACUGAUGAACUCUGACUAAUACAUCAUGAACUUGCAGAAUUUUGGAUAUUUGACAAAUCUGAGGAAUUGAAGAGACGGGCACCUCACCUUUUCUGAGCAGAAGAGUUCAUUUGAUGAAACCUGAAGUAGAGAGCA